UACGUAGGGGGCAAGCGUUGUCCGGAAUCAUUGGGCGUAAAGAGCGUGUAGGCGGCUCGGUAAGUCCGCUGUGAAAGUCCAGGGCUCAACCCUGGAAUGCCGGUGGAAACUGUCGAGCUAGAGUCCGGAAGGGGCGAGUGGAAUUCCUGGUGUAGCGGUGAAAUGCGCAGAUAUCAGGAGGAACACCAAUGGCGAAGGCAGCUCGCUGGGACGGUACUGACGCUGAGGCGCGAAAGCAUGGGGAGCGAACAGG
rnacentral:rRNA from 1 species